rnacentral:rRNA from 1 species
GGAGGAAAAGAAACUAACAAGGAUUCCCCUAGUAACGGCGAGUGAAGCGGGAAGAGCUCAAAUUUGAAAUCUAGUAGCCUUCGGCUGCUCGAGUUGUAAUCUAGAGAAGUGUUUUCCGUGCCGGCCCAUGUACAAGUCCCUUGGAACAGGGCGUCAUAGAGGGUGAGAAUCCCGUCCUUGACAUGGACCCCCGGUGCUCUGUGAUACACUUUCAACGAGUCGAGUUGUUUGGGAAUGCAGCUCAAAAUGGGUGGUGAAUUCCAUCUAAAGCUAAAUAUUGGCGAGAGACCGAUAGCGAACAAGUACCGUGAGGGAAAGAUGAAAAGCACUUUGGAAAGAGAGUUAAACAGUACGUGAAAUUGUUGAAAGGGAAACGAUUGAAGUCAGUCAUGCUCUUUGGUAUUUAUAUCAUUGAGUGGGGUCAACAUCAGUUUUGAGCGAUGGAUAAAGGCACUAGGAAGGUAGCACUCUCGGGUGAACUUAUAGCCUAGCGUCAUAUACAUUGUUUGGGACUGAGGAACGCAGCAUGCCUUUAUGGCCGGGAUUCGUCCACGUACAUGCUUAGGAUGUUGACAUAAUGGCUUUAAACGACCCGU